UAUAAGGUUUUAUUGAAAACCAUAUAAGAUUAUAUGAGGAGGACUAU
rfam:Lingula anatina scaffold521, whole genome shotgun sequence.